AAAACUUUGUUGACAAAAAGAGUUCAUUUCCCCUGAACCUUUAAGCACCAGAUGGGCCUGCACCUUCCAAGGACUCCUUUCUUCUUUAAAAGCACAAUUGUUGUUCAGUUCCUCUCAGGUGCAGAUUCAUUAGCUCUUGACUGGCUCUCCUUGUUUGCUGACUACUUGUGGAAAAAGCCAUUUACCCUGGUGAAUGUCAAGGAGUCUUCUCAUUACUAAUUUAACAAGAAUGAUCUGUUUAGAACUACACAGAACAUCAUAAGCCUGCCAUGAAGUGUACCUUCAUUGCUGCAAGGGCUGCACUAGGCCCCUCAGGUGCUGUGUGCAGAGUGCUCCCAGCAUUCCUUCCCUUCCCCUCUCCUGCUGUUGAUGGCACAGUCUGCACAGGUCGUGAGGGGAGAGACUCACUCAGAGACUGCACCUGCUAAGAGGAGGAAAAUCAAUUUUCAUCAUCCAAAAAUACAGAACUGCUGGCACACAAACUAUAGUUGUUCAAGGUCCCUAGGGUCCAAGGGGAGUCCUACUAAGAAAGACAUAUGCUUGGAAUGAAAGUCAAUACUCUGUCCAUGUAACCGGAAUAAUAAGGAAAGUAGGGAAUGAAGAGGUGGAGGAUGGAAUGUUCCCAUGUAAGUCCCCAGUUCUACAAUAAAUACC